GAUCAUGGCUCAGGACGAACGCUGGCGGCGUGCUUAACACAUGCAAGUCGAACGAGAAAGGCUCUUCGGAGCUGAGUACAGUGGCGAACGGGUGAGUAACACGUGGGCAACCUGCCCUAGGGAGCGGGACAACCCGAGGAAACUCGGGCUAAUACCGCAUGAUUCGUACGGUCCUAAGUCCGUACGGGAAAUGGUAGCUUCGGCCUCCGCCCUGGGAUGGGCCCGCGGCGCAUUAGCUUGUUGGUGUAGGUAACGGCU
rnacentral:rRNA from 1 species